CCCUUCCCAGGGUCGCACCUGGAGAGUUUCCAGCACUCUACCAGUCUCGACUGCGGGAGGGAGAGACAAGCAGAGGCUUAUCCAUUCCAUCCCUAGCUCAGGCAGUGGCUAGUGAAUAGAAGGCAAUCAGCUACAAGU